CAACAUGACAUCAGCCUUUUGUAAGACAUCCAUUAACUGUCAAAGGAAAAUGUCAAUCGGUUUGUGUAAACAAUCAUUGCGGUCUAUAAAUUCGCGUUUAUGUACUGCAUGAGCAGCCGAAAUGGAUAACGUUAAUACAUUGUACGAAAAUUAUAUAAGUAAAGGGAGUCAUCGACCCAGCUCGCGCCAUGCUUUAAAGAUAUUUGGAGACGGGAUCAACGGCCGACCUCGCGGUAGUGCAAGUUAUAGGAUAAUAGCACGUGUAUACGCUGUGUUCGUAUGUCGGCGAUCAAGUUACACUGAGCAUUUUAUUUGCAAGCCGUUAAAAAUAGAUCAUUAUUAAAACGUACGGCGAUUUUCUAGCGCCAUCUCGUAAAACUUUCAAAUAUCAAGAAUUGGACUACGUGUAGUUUGCUAUUGCUGUUCGCUGUUUGCGUUUUCCGUAAACUUCAAUAGGUGGCGUUGUUAUCCUAAUAACUAUAUAUUGUGACUGCUAUUAAAAUUUAAAACGCCAUCUAUACAAGCCUAUACCCGUGCCUAUAAUUUCAGCGAUAUUCAAAUAUAAUGUUGUAUUACAAUAAGAUAUUCUUGGCUUUUGCUGAAGUGUAUAGUAAAUACCACACCCAGUACUAAAUCAGCCUUGCGGUGUAAAUUAAUAAAUCGUAACGGUUUGUCAAUUUGUACCAAAAAUAUAAAGUUCGGCGUAAGUUUCUUCAUAGUAAAAUUAUACUGGUAAUCAAAAGUGUUGUGCGUCAUAUAAUUAAUAAUCGGAAUGCAGUGUAGGGUCAAACAGCAACCCUAAAUUAAUAUAAAUCCUAAUACUCUCAUAUAAAUGAAUUAUUUGCAUAUUAAUGUCAAAUGUGUGAGCUCCAGCGGUGUAACCAUGAGUAUUAAGAAACUAUAUUUUGUAUCUGUGUACUUUUUUUUGACGUUUUUAAAUUAGGAAUUUCUUCGAGUGAAAAAUUUAAGUCUAUUACUUUUAAUCGCAUUAAAUUAAACAAAUUAAACUUAGUACGUAUUACUAUUGCAAUAUUCAGAGUGAGACUUCCUAAACUCAGGUUGUUGGGCACAUAGCUCCUAGGAGGGUAAAGGUCGUCGAAAAGUAAGUAACGGAACUAGGGAGGCUUAUAUCAAUCAAAUAGCUUGAACAUUAUAAAGAGUUUGCAAACGUCCAAAAAAAUCUCGAAAUUUUAUGUAUGAGAUUUUGUUUGUAACGGUAAUAAAAAAAACUUUUAAGUGAAAGUUAUAUUAAGUUGCACUAAAUUUUAUCUCCUAUCUAUCGCAUGUUGCGUUUCAAUCGGACGUGGAGUAGCGGUAUAGUGAAAAGACGUUUACAGAUUACCGAAAGCCAAUAUGGCGGCAGUAAUGGCUCGCAUAAGGUUAUCAUUUAGAACAGGGUUUUUCAACCUUAUUCGUACCACAGCCCUUUUAGUAUGAAUAAAUAAGUCGC